GGUGAGUCCUCCAUUCCGGGGACGUUGCUCAUGAUCUUUUGCUAUGUAUAAGAGUUUUUCUUUUUAGUUGUGUUUUGUCUAUGAGGGUGAGCCUGGUAGUUUGUCUUGGCCCCCGCUAAGUACUCAUGUUUAGAGGUGGUGUUGGACAAGUUGUGUAUUAUGCUUGAGCUUGACUCAUCUAUGAUAUUUUUGUAUCAUUCUUAUUUUUUUGUU
rnacentral:lncRNA from 1 species